CCUACGGGUGGCAGCAGUGGGGAAUAUUGGACAAUGGGCGAAAGCCUGAUCCAGCCAUGCCGCGUGUAUGAAGAAGGCCUUCGGGUUGUAAAGCACUUUCAGUGGGGAAGAAAGCCUUGGGGCUAAUACCCUCGAGGAAGGACAUCACCCACAGAAGAAGCACCGGCUAACUCCGUGCCAGCAGCCGCGGUAAUACGGAGGGUGCGAGCGUUAAUCGGAAUUACUGGGCGUAAAGCGCGCGUAGGCGGUCUGAUAAGCCGGUUGUGAAAGCCCCGGGCUCAACCUGGGAACGGCAUCCGGAACUGUCAGGCUAGAGUGCAGGAGAGGAAGGUAGAAUUCCCGGUGUAGCGGUGAAAUGCGUAGAGAUCGGGAGGAAUACCAGUGGCGAAGGCGGCCUUCUGGACUGACACUGACGCUGAGGUGCGAAAGCGUGGGUAGCAAACAGGAUUAGAUACCCGUGUAGUC
rnacentral:rRNA from 1 species